CUAAUUGGAAGCAUUUAUUUGGGACUGAAGUUGAUUAAGAAGAUUUUGACACUGUAUCAAGGCUUCUACAAUGUUGUUAAUCUUCGAAAUUGAACUGAGUUCCGUGGUUCUUUGAGAUGUUGAGGAAGCAAAUGAUCCGAUUGACCUUUGUUGUUCUUCUUGAAGGAGAAGAGAAAAGGCCCGGCUUAUAAAUGGGAGAGGAUCCAUAAGCAGGAGUUGAGCUUGUGCAUGAGAGAAAUUCUGAUUGAGCCCCAUAAGGACCAUAAGAUAUUCCAUCUAAAGGAAGUCUGCCAUUUCUUUUAGGCCAUCACAAGUGCAAGUUCCAUAGUUGCAAGCUGAUCUGUAUGUAUUUAACUCAUCAAUAAAAGUCUUGAACUUAGUAAAAUACAUACAAAUAGAGUCUCGGUUAUGUGAUAGUGUUGCUAGGGAUCAUUUCAAUUGAAAUAUCCUUGGAGCAUUCUUCUUUUGAAAUCAUUCUUUUUCCUCAACUGCGUAGAAUUGGAAGAAUUUGACAUUUAGUUUUUGUGUGUUCUAUAGGAAUCGAGAAAGUUAUGAGAGGAGAGAAGUUGUUUCUAAGUUUAUUAUAUCUUAACCCGACCAACCCAUAUUGGGUUAAUUUUGUGUUAAGUUAGAUUAUAAAAUUGGAGGAAAAAAAAAAGUUGAGUCGAGUCUCGGAUUAUACAAAUAAUGUACAAAUCUAAACAAUGUUAACAUGUGUCAUUUACUCA